UGGCGGCAGUAGCGCGGUGGUCCCACCUGACCCCAUGCCGAACUCAGAAGUGAAACGCCGUAGCGCCGAUGGUAGUGUGGGGUCUCCCCAUGUGAGAGUAGGGAACUGCCA
rnacentral:rRNA from 5 species